rnacentral:rRNA from 1 species
UCAUGCCCCUUAUGACCUGGGCUACACACGUGCUACAAUGGACGGUACAACGAGAAGCGACCCUGUGAAGGCAAGCGGAUCUCUGAAAGCCGUUCUCAGUUCGGAUUGCAGGCUGCAACUCGCCUGCAUGAAGCUGGAAUCGCUAGUAAUCGCAAAUCAGCACGUUGCGGUGAAUACGUUCCCGGGCCUUGUACACACCGCCCGUCACACCAUGAGAGUCUGUAACGCCCGAAGCCGGCGGGAUAACCGAAAGGAGUCAGCCGUCUAAGGCGGGACAGAUGAUUAGGGUGAAGUCGUAACAAGGUAGCCGUAGGAGAA